CGGCCAUUGAGGACUGGAGUUUGACAUCCCUGAUCUAAACGGGUAUACAUCCUGAACCUGUCAGCGAAGUGGUGGUGAGGAAACCCAAUACUAUGGGAAAAAGAUAUCUGCACUCCACACUUUACAGAGCUUACACAGGACCACUUCCAGAUCCCGACAUUCUGGCAUCAGGAGAAAAACUACGCCAGCUGCAGUCCCAACCACUUAUGGCUCUUGGUCUUUCAAAUUUGGAGCUGGUUCCAUCCAAAUUUGGGCCUGUGCCACAGGGCUCACCAAUGU